AGGAAAGAAACAGAAUAGCAGGGGAUGAAACAGAGAAGGGAGAAAGGAAGAAAAGAAAAAGGGAAAAAUAAGGUUUUAAAGGUUCCAAGUUAAUUUGGUAAGUCAAUUUAGCCUCUUUUCUUAUGAUUUUUGAGUUUUUGGAAUCCUAGAGAUAAAUACUACUUGUUUUAUGUAGAAAUUUUGAAAGUCAUUAGAUUUCUAAGUAUGGUUCAUAUUGAAUAAAAUGAUGGAAUUGGGGGUUUAUUUGAUAGAAAUUUUGAUUGGAAUUGAAUAAAGGAUUGAAUCGUAAACUAAGCUAUAAGUUUUGAGUUUUAGGGAUUAAAUGGAAAUAAAUUCGAAAUUAUGAAAAUAUGCUGGAAAUUUAAUAGUUAAGUAUGAGUUUGGACAAAAUUUGAAUAGAAAUGAAGUAUGAAUUGAGAUAGAAAAAGUAAGUGAAUCUAGUUAAGAUUAAAUUGAAAUUAAAGUAGAAAUUGAACAAAAAUUGUAUUAAUUAGAUAUAAAUUAGUAGUGAAUUAACGAAUAUGAAUUGUUUGAAUUCCCGUAGCUAAUGUUGUCUCGGGAAACCUCGGCUAAGCAAGGAAAAAAAUGGCAAAGACAAAGGGAGUUAGCUCGAGAAAAUACAGUUUGUAUUUCUAUAAUCCGAACCUAGUUAUUAAUUGUUAUAUUUUUUUUAUUCAAUGCAUUUAAUAAAUGUUGAAGUGAGAAUUAUUGUGUUUAUAAUGGAAAUGGAUUAAUUUGGUAUGUGAUGAAUUUAUAUUGAUUGAAUUAAAUUGAAUUAUAUAUUAUAAAUAUAUAUGUGUGUGUGUGUGUGUGUGUGAAUGAGAUAUUAUGCAAUUAUGAUAAUUGAAUUUUGGAUAAAUAUUAUGAUAAAUAAUUAAGAUGGGAAUUAUUUGUAUUGUGUCUUUAUAAUUGAAAUGAAUUGAUUUAGUGUGUGAUAAAUUUAUAUUAAAUUGAUUUAUGAAUAUCUGUUUUAUUGAAUUUUAUAUUGAUUGAAUUAUUUUAUUGAAUUAUAUUGAUUGAAUUAUAUAAAUAACUAUGAUUUAUGUAGAAAUUGAAUAUGAAUGAAUUUAUAUUGAAAAAUAUAUUGAUGGAAAUAUGAGGAAAUUUGAUAUGAAUAUAUGGAGAUUGUGAUUAUGUUAAUAUUUAUAUUGAAAAAUGAAUGAAUUGAAUUGAAUUAUGACUUCAUGUGACUACUUGAAAUAUAUUGUUGAAUGAAUGAAAUGUAUGAAUUGUGAAAAUGGUUAACUAUAUGUACUUAUCUGAAGGAGAUAUUGAUGAAAGCAGUAUUAAAUUGCGAAAUUGAUGAAAUACCCUAUUAAUAGUCGGGGCUUAAGUCAGAUAUAAUUGGCAUGCCAAGGAUUGAAAGUGUACGGGAUUUCCGGUUACAUUUAGGCCACUUUAUGUGUCAUAUUUCAGACGCCUCGUGUGUCGUAUCAGGCACCUCGUGUGUCGUAUCAGGCACUUUAUGUGUCGUAUACUGAUCAGGUACUAUGUACCGUUUUAGGCACAAUGUGCCGUACUGGUGUGUUUGGGUUGGAAUCCGUGUAUCCGUCAAAGUCUGAGUUUGUUAAUAAGACUAAAUAAGUGAAAAGAUAAAUCGACUGAAUUUGAUUGAUUGAACUAUUGGAAUGAAAUGAGAAAUUGAAUUGAGAAUUGAAAUUGAGAUAUGAGAUUGAAAAUAUGAACCAAAAGGUUCAUGAAAUGAGUGAAGUUCAAAUGGAUGAUGAUUGAUGUUAGAAUGAAUUAAAAUGGUAUAUUGUUAAGAAGUAAAGUGUGAAUACAAGUGAAUUGUGAAUAUAUUGAAAGAAUUUAUACAGUAAGCAAAUGAAAAGAAUUGAGCAAAUAUGUUGUUGUGUUUGUUAUAUAGCUUGUAUAGAAUUUUUAUGGUAAGUAAAUGAAACUUAUCUAUAAAAUAAAUAAAUGAAUGGUUAUAUUUAUCAUUGUGAUUUUAAGUUUAAUUGUUAUAUUAUCAAGUGUUCGGAUUAUAGAAAUACCACUGAAUAUACCAUACUCAACGUACAGUUUGUUUCCGUGCGCAGGUUUAGUAAAGAUAGAACGCUGAAUCAAAUCCCAAUCCGAUCCCGAAUUCAUUAAGGUAAAGUGUGUUAAUUAUUGGUAAUGGCAUGUACCAAGGAUGUCUUAUGCGUAUGUCAUUUUGAAAUUGUAAAUGUAAUGAUGAAAUAAAUAAAUUUAGAUUUGGCUAUGGUAUAAAAUAGGAUUUGACUAAUUUGGUAUGAAUUCGAAUUUUUGUGAGACAAUGUCAGAUUGAUUUUGGAAUUCCCUAUUCUGAAUUGGGAAAAUCAUUAAAAAUUGUAUAAAAAUAAUUACAGGCUAUAAUUUAUAUGCUUAGAAUAUUUAAUGAGUCUAUUUUCAAGAGAAAUAAACGGGAACAUCAUCCAAGUUCUGUGCUAUAAGAUAAUUAAAUUUUAGUAAAGAAAGGUCGAAACUGUCAAACAACAGAUCAGGGGUAACUUUGAGGAAUAAACUGUACUGAUUGGCUAAACCAAAAAUUUUGAAAUUUUAUGGUAGAAAGGUAUAUGAGUCUAGUUUUAAUAAAAAUUAACAGAACUUAAUUUGGAGUUUCGUAGCUCUAGAUAUAAAUAUUUUAGUGACUGUUACUCAAGAAGACAGUUUUGACAUAAGAAUGUAAAUGAAAUUGUGUGUAAUUAUUCUGUAAACUCCGGUAAUGCUCCAUAACUCUCUUCUGGGGUGGUUUGGGGUUAGGGGGUGUUAUAAUUGUUGGUAUCAGAGCUAUUCAUGUUUAGUCGAUUCUCGAAUAAAUCGAGCUCGGAAUUGAGUCUAGAGGUACAUGCCAUAAUUGAGUCGAAAUUGAGUCGGGAUCGGAUGCUGAUAUUUUUUUUUGGUACUAUUUUAUAGUGAAAAUGUUAGACGAAAAUAUCGAUGGUAUUGAUUAUGAAAUGUAUACUGGAGACUAAUAGUCUCGUGAAUUAGAUGAAAACUGAAUCAACAACACUGGGUAUAAACUCAAUGGGUAAUUAACUACUGAAUGAUGACUGAUGAAAUAAUAGAAAAAAAAUGAUACAUAAUUAUUUAGAAUUAUAACUGAUGUUCUUCAGUGAAUAGAAGAAAUUGUAUUUGUUAUGAUAUAUGCCCCUCCUGUUUCUCAAUCGGUUCCCGAAGUGCUUCAAGGUACAGAGUUUGUCUGAAUGGAUAACAUAUCUGUUGUUAAUAUUUUGUACAUAUAGUGUGGAAGAAUUGAAAAUUACAGCUGAACAUAUCUGUUGUUAAUAUUUUGUACAUAUAGUGUGGAAGAAUUGAAAAUUACAGCUGAAAAUGAUCUUGAAAGAAUUAAAAUUUGGCAAGAGAAUAUUAUCAAGGCUGUAAAUGAAUUGCUUGGUUCGUCGAAUAAAUGAUAGGAAGGUAUGAUAUUUCUACUAAAAGAUUCAAUCUACCAAAGGUGGAAAAUAUUGAUUUAUGCUGUAACUAUGAAAGGGUUAUUUGGAAUUUUCUAAAAUGAAUUCUGAAAGAAAUAUAUGUUAGUCAGAGAUUUCCUGAUUAGAAAUGCAAAGAAAUUUUUGAAGCUUAAACAGGGUCAUAUGAUUGUAACUAAGUAUGAAGGGAAUUUGUUUGAUUGAAUAAGUAUAUCAGAGGGUAUAUUCCAAUAGAAACCAUAAUGUACAAGUAGUUUGAAGAUGGUUUAAAUGAAAACAUAAAGUCGAAGAAUGUAGAAUAAAGAGUGAAAUAUGAGUUAGAUAUGAUUCUUCUGAUCAUUAUCUUAGUGAUUGAUUGAAGAGAGUUGAAAGAGAUAUUAUUUAAAUUUCAAGACAGAAUACAACAGUUAUUAGAGGUAGAUUACUCUGUAACCUAGAAAUGCGAGUGGUAGUCGAAGUGUGAUAGAGGAUUUCACUAUAAAAUCUGGAGAAUGAAUAUCAGCCAGGGCAUAUGUUAAUUGUAUAUAAGAAGAUGUUUCUCUACCGGGUGUCAUUACAGGUACCUUCUUCUUUUAUCGGCACUGAUAUGAUUAUUUUAAAUUGAUAUUGGUUUUAUUUAUUCGUAUGAUUGCAUGAAUUUAGCAUUUAUUAAAGAUUUUUCUGUUUAGUUCGACGAAUUAUUGGUUGAAGUAUCAAAUUUUUCGGAUCAGUAUUUAUUGAUUGAUAAAAUUACAAGAACUGUUUGAUAAUGAUAUUAGGGUACUGUUUCCUGAUUGAUUUGAUGUUAUUAUUAUUUGAUGUUAUUUCAAGAACGGAAUGGUUAAUUCUACAUGAUAUGGUGGUGAAUUGUAAGCAAAAGUGCAUUAUACUGCAAGGUUAGAACGAUGAAAAUUGAACUAAUUGUUUAUUGUGAUAUUGAACAUGUCAACACAGAAAUGUGCUAGAAAAGGGUUGUGGUAUUUACUUUGCUUAUGAAUUGGAUAUUAAAGUAUCUGAGUCAAAUUUUAAUUCAAUGGCAAUUUUGAUGUGUUUCCGGAAGAGUUACCCGAAUUACUGUUGGUUGAAGAAGCUAAAUUUAUUAUAGAUCUUGUGCCUGAAAUAAUAUUGAAAAAUGUAUCUGAAAUCAGAGAAUUUUUGAGAUUAGUCGGUUAUUAUCAGAAAGUUAAAAAAAGAUUUUUGAAAUAUAUGGUUACCAUAGAAAGAUAUGGCAUUGUAAUGAUCUGAUAAAUGUCAGUAAAGUUUUAAUCAGUUGAAAACUCAGUAAACUGAAGCACUAGUUCUGGUUUAGCCUAAAAUCCAGUAAAGAAACUUGUGAUUUACAGGGAUAGCAGUGUUUGACGCAAGAAAAUGAAUUAACGGUUUAUGUUUUGGAAAGUUAGAACUACAUGAGAAGAAUUAUUUGAUACAUGAUUCGAAAGUGAUAACUAUUGUCUUUGUAUUAAAGGAUCAUGAUUUUAUAAUUGAAUAUCAUCCAGGGAAAAAAAAAUCAAAUGGAGUUAUGAACACUCUAUUGUCAUUAUCUGAUGAUCGCUCAAUUCUAAUUGAAAUAAAGGUUAAACUUACUUCUCUACAGCAGGUCUGCAAAGUUCAGAAAUGUGACAAUGAAUUAAUGGUUAAAUGGGUAUAGUGAACAAAUGAUUUUGAUUGAAAAUUUCAGAUUGAAUUUGAUGAUUAUUUGCUGUUUAGAAAUAGAAGCUGUAUUGAAGAAUUCAGAGCUUAGACAGAAGAAUUUGUAUGAAAUUUAUAGCAAUACUAUGUCUAUGCAUUCUGGAAGAAAUAAAAUGUACAGUGAUUUGAGGAAGAUGUGUUGAAGACUGGGAAAGAAAAGUAGUACUUUGAAAUUGUAUAUAAAUGUUUAUAUCAGAUACAGAUAUCUUCAGAACUAUUACAGCUAGAAAGGAUAUCAGAAUGGAAGUGGGAUAUAAUUUCUAUGGGUUUGAAUUAGAAUUAUCUCGAUCUUUGAAAAAGAAAGACGGUAUUUGAAUAAUCGUCGAAGGUAUGGUAAAGUCUGCAAAUUCUAUUCAUGUAUGAAUAAAUUUCUUAAUAAUUGUCUGAAAUAUAGGUUUCUGAGAUUAUCAGAUUUCAUGGUAUGGUGGUUUCUAUUUUUUUUUAUUGAGAUACGUGGUUUAUACUCUGAUUAUAGAAUAAGUACAAAAAGUUUUGGGUACGUGAUAACAGUUUUCAGCAAUAUAUGAAGUUUUGAAUGAUUAUGAUGUAAAACUGCAUAAGAUCUGAUUAAAUACAGUGAGAAAAAGAAUAUGCGGAAUUUUUUAAUUCGUGAAAUUGAAGAAAAGUAGAAGUGAUUCGAGAUAGAUUGAAAGCAGUUUUGACAGACAGGAAUUAUAUGUGGACUUGAAACGUUAGGAUAUCGAGUAUUUUGUUAGUGAUAUGAUAUUUCUUAAAGAUUCAGUUUGAAAGAAAAUUUUGAAGAUCAGGUUGAAAAAGAAAUUGAGUUCUUAUUCUGUUGGGCCAUGUGAAGUUGUAGAAAAGUCGGAUCGGUAAAAUAUUGCUUGGUUUUGCUUUUGAAGUUACAGAAAGUUUAUGAUAAUUUUUCCAUGAUUUGAAGCUUAGAAAAUGAUAUAGAUUAGAUCUGUUACAUGUUAUAUCGACAAAGGAUAUUGAGAUUUGACGCAAUCUAUCGUAUGAGAAAGAGCCGGUUGAGAUACUAGCCUGAGCGGUAAUGUCAUAAUAUUGAGGAAACAAUACGGGAACUGAGAGAAACAGCGAAAUCUUUGUACUUGUACCCCCGCCUCUCUUAUGAAAAUUUCAAGGACGAAAUUUAUUAAAGGGGGGGAGAAAUGUAACGACCCGAACUUUAAGGUUAUUAGAAAAGUAUAUUUUCGGGUCACCAUUUCUGAAAAAUGGAUUAGAAAAUAUUUAUUAAAAAAAAGUAAAAAUAUUUAUGAAGUUAAGUGAGUGAUUAAUUAAAGUUUAAUUAAGUAAAUUUAGCUUAAUUAAGGAUAAUUGGAUAAAAGAUUAAAUUGAAUAUAAUGUGAAAGUUUAGUUUUAAAGUAAUAGAAAAUAAAAGGAUCAAAAUGGCAAUUAAGCCAUACCCAUGAAAUGAGACGGUGAAUGAAAGAAAAAUCAAGAUUUUUCUUGAAUUAUGUAUAUUAUUAAAUUAUUAAAUAUAUAUGUAUAUAUAUAUAUAAAAAAAGAAAAACAAGUGUAUAAAAAUGAUUGGUACAAGUGUUAAAUAAAUAUUUGUUAUUAAAUAGAUUUUUAUUAUAGUUAUUAUUGUCAUUAUAUAUAUAUAAAAGAAACAAAAGAAUAAAAAGAGGAAAGAAACAGAAUAGCAGGGGAUGAAACAGAGAAGGGAGAAAGGAAGAAAAGAAAAAGGGAAAAAUAAGGUUUUAAAGGUUCCAAGUUAAUUUGGUAAGUCAAUUUAGCCUCUUUUCUUAUGAUUUUUGAGUUUUUGGAAUCCUAGAGAUAAAUACUACUUGUUUUAUGUAGAAAUUUUGAAAGUCAUUAGAUUUCUAAGUAUGGUUCAUAUUGAAUAAAAUGAUGGAAUUGGGGGUUUAUUUGAUAGAAAUUUUGAUUGGAAUUGAAUAAAGGAUUGAAUCGUAAACUAAGCUAUAAGUUUUGAGUUUUAGGGAUUAAAUGGAAAUAAAUUCGAAAUUAUGAAAAUAUGCUGGAAAUUUAAUAGUUAAGUAUGAGUUUGGACAAAAUUUGAAUAGAAAUGAAGUAUGAAUUGAGAUAGAAAAAGUAAGUGAAUCUAGUUAAGAUUAAAUUGAAAUUAAAGUAGAAAUUGAACAAAAAUUGUAUUAAUUAGAUAUAAAUUAGUAGUGAAUUAACGAAUAUGAAUUGUUUGAAUUCCCGUAGCUAAUGUUGUCUCGGGAAACCUCGGCUAAGCAAGGAAAAAAAUGGCAAAGACAAAGGGAGUUAGCUCGAGAAAAUACAGUUUGUAUUUCUAUAAUCCGAACCUAGUUAUUAAUUGUUAUAUUUUUUUUAUUCAAUGCAUUUAAUAAAUGUUGAAGUGAGAAUUAUUGUGUUUAUAAUGGAAAUGGAUUAAUUUGGUAUGUGAUGAAUUUAUAUUGAUUGAAUUAAAUUGAAUUAUAUAUUAUAAAUAUAUAUGUGUGUGUGUGUGUGUGUGAAUGAGAUAUUAUGCAAUUAUGAUAAUUGAAUUUUGGAUAAAUAUUAUGAUAAAUAAUUAAGAUGGGAAUUAUUUGUAUUGUGUCUUUAUAAUUGAAAUGAAUUGAUUUAGUGUGUGAUAAAUUUAUAUUAAAUUGAUUUAUGAAUAUCUGUUUUAUUGAAUUUAUAUUGAUUGAAAUUAUUUUGAUUGAAUUUAUAUUGAUUGAAUUAUAUAAUAAAUAUGAUUUAUGUAGAAAUUUGAAUAUUGAAUGAAUGUUAUAUUGAAAAAUAUAUUGAUUGGAAAUAUGAGGAAAUUGAUAUGAAUAUAUGAGAUUGUGAUAUUUGAAUAUUUGAUAUUGAAAAAUGAAUUGAAUUGUAUUGAAUUAUGAAUUAAUGUGAAUAAUUGAAAUAUAUUGUUGAAUUGAAUGAAAUUGUAUGAAUUGUGAAAAUGGGUAAAUAUAUGUAAUUAUCUGAAUGAGAUAUUGAUGAAAGAAUUAUUAAAUUGAGAAAGUGAAUGAAAUACCCUAUUAACUAGUCGGGCUAAGUCAGAUAUAAUUGGCAUGCCAUAGGAUCUGAAAGUGUACGGGAUUUGCCGGCUUUACCAUUUAGGCACUUUAUGUGUCGUAUUUCAGGCGCCUCGUGUGUCGUAUCAGGCACUUUAUGUGUCAUAUACUGAUCAGGUACUAUGUACCGUUUUAGGCACAAUGUGCCGUACUGGUGUGUUUGGGUUGGAAUCCGUGUAUCAUUCAAAGUCUGGGUUUGUUAAUAAGGCUAAAUAAGUGAAAAGAUAAAUCGACUGAAUUUGAUUGAUUGAACUAUUGGAAUGAAAUGAGAAAUUGAAUUGAGAAUUGAAAUUGAGAUAUGAGAUUGAAAAUAUGAACCAAAAGGUUCAUGAAAUGAGUGAAGUUCAAAUGGAUGAUGAUUGAUGUUAGAAUGAAUUAAAAUGGUACAUUGUUAAGAAGUAAAGUGUGAAUACAAGUGAAUUGUGAAUAUAUUGAAAGAAUUUAUACAGUAAGCAAAUGAAAAGAAUUGAGCAAAUAUGUUGUUGUGUUUGUUAUAUGGCUUGUAUAGAAUUUUUAUGGUAAGUAAAUGAAACUUAUCUAUAAAAUAAAUAAAUGAAUGGUUAUAUUUAUCAUUGUGAUUUUAAGUUUAAUUGUUAUAUUAUCAAGUGUUCGGAUUAUAGAAAUACCACUGAAUAUACCAUACUUAACGUACGGUUUGUUUCCGUGCGCAGGUUUAGUAAAGAUAGAACGUUGAAUCAACAUCCCAAUCCGAUCCCGAAUUCAUUAAGGUAAAGUGUGUUAAUUAUUGGUAAUGGCAUGUACCUAGGAUGUCUUAUGUGUAUGUCAUUUUGAAAUUGUAAAUGUAAUGAUGAAAUAAAUAAAUUUAGAUUUGGCUAUGGUAUAAAAUAGGAUUUGACUAAUUUGGUAUGAAUUCGAAUUUUUGUGAGACAAUGUCAGAUUGAUUUUGGAAUUCCCUAUUCUAAAUUGGGAAAAUCAUUAAAAAUUGUAUAAAAAUAAUUACAGGCUAUAAUUUAUAUGCUUAGAAUAUUUAAUGAGUCUAUUUUCAAGAGAAAUAAACGGGAACAUCAUCCAAGUUCUGUGCUAUAAGAUAAUUAAAUUUUAGUAAAGAAAGGUCGAAACUGUCAAACAACAGAUCAGGGGUAACUUUGAGGAAUAAACUGUACUAAUUGGCUAAACCAAAAAUUUUGAAAAUUUUAUGGUAGAAAGGCAUAUGAGUCUAGUUUUAAGAAAAAUUAACUGAACUUAAUUUGGAGUUUCGUAGCUCUAGAUAUAAAUAUUUUAGUGACGCUUACUCAAGAAGACAGUUUUGACAUGAACAUAAGUAAAUGAAAUUGUGUGUAAUUAUUCUGUAAACUCCGGUAAUGCUCCAUAACUCUCUUCCGGGGCGGUUUGGGGUUAGGGGUGUUACAUCAAAGCUGGAAAUAUUCCAGAUCUCAAAACGUAGCAUUGAGGCGCGAAUCAAGUUGAUUCAUGUACAAAUUACAGAGAUAAAUUUAAAAAAAAAAAACAAAUGAAGCUCAAUCGAAUGACAGUGCGAAAGGGGAGGACCAAGCGCACAAUUAACCCUCUAAGACCAAAAGCGCGGAUCUCAUCCGAGCAUGGGUCGGGUCAUUAGGUUAUGACUCCCAGAUAGUGUCAUUUUUAAGCCAUUGAAAUUGGCUUACACGACGCUAUUUCAGAUCCUUUAUAAUGGCUAAACCCAACCAAGAAAACCGUUCGGUUGAACGAAACCCUAAUCCCUUUCUUUCUCUUUUGUCAAACCCUAAAUCCCUCACUCCAACUGCAGAUUCACCUCCACAAACAGCAACCAAUACAUUCAAGCUUGGAGGGAUGACUUUUUAGCCUUGAGAUCUCCUUUCGGCUUCAAUUUCAACGAAGCAAAAAGAGAUUUAUGGCAUAUUCGCAAGGUAAGACUCCUCUUUCUUUUUUCCUUUUAUUUUCAAACGCAAUGACGGAAGAUUUGAAGGCAAUAAAUCGCAAGGAAAUGCAAAAACUUAAAGAAAUUUAAACAGAAAUCACCUUCUAAAAAUUUUGACUGCUUUCUUUGUAUUCAAUAUGCGUUCGUCCUCUUUUACACUGAUUUUCUCGGCCUUUUAUAGCCGAUUUACAGGAUAAAUAGAAAAAGGAAAAAAAAAACUCUAAUUUUUUGCUGUCAUCUGCUGGUUUAUUUUCUGUUAUUGGGGCUGUUCUCGCAAGUUCUAUGGAGAAACGGCCGUACGAAAGAAGCCGCUCGUGGUGACAUGGAGGCCGUGAGUGGAAAAUCCCUCGUGAAAACCCGAUUCCCUGGCUGCAGUACUAGCGUGUUCUAGAAACCUCUAGGUUUUUGGUAUUCUCAAGUUGUUGGGCCUUUUUGGGCCAUUUUGGCAAUGGGCUACUGUGACUUGGACCAGGGAUUAAGUUGGGGGAUUUUGGGUGUAAUGGGACUUUGGGUUAAGGUCUAGGUCAAUAGAUUUUGGGUUUCAAUUUUGAGUCUCGGGGUUGAAUGUAAAAUUUGAUAUUUAAUUGGGCCAAAACUGUGCUUGUUGUAAUUGAUGGACUUUGGACCCUUUAUUUUUAUUUUGGUUUAUGGUUUUAUUUUUUAUUUUUUUUUGUUUUGGUUUUGGUGUGGGCUCGGGUGAAAUGGGCCUAUUACAAUAAUUUUUAAAAAAUUAAAAGAUAGUAUAUAAUAUAAUUAACUCAAUCAAAUUUAGCUUAAAAUUGAAAGAAACAAAUUACUUACCUUCAUCUCAUUGACUUAUCAUCUAUUUGCCAAUAAAAAAAAUAUAAAGUUUAAAUACUUUUAACGUAUUUAAUUGAAUCCUACUAAUGGAAGUAUGAGAGCUGACCUUAUAUUUGUUAUCAAUGAAGAACCAAUAGUGCAGCUUAGGUGAAAUUGGUUCUAAAAUGAAUUAUCACCUACUAAUGAUUAAAUCUUGGAUAUGUUUUGUUCUCGAAUUUGGGAGAUUUUGUAGGGUUAAUUUGCAGUCUAUGUUCUAAUUUGAAUUUUUUUUCUAAUGAUGGAUGCUGUGUUUUUAAAAUCUUAUUUGCAUUCCUUAAUAUUGAUUCUGAAUUAAAUGCUUUUUAACUAUUUAUAUAG
rnacentral:lncRNA from 1 species